rnacentral:sRNA from 1 species
UAGCUGUUAAUGUUAGGUUUGGAUGAGU